rnacentral:rRNA from 1 species
UACGGAGGGUGCAAGCGUUAUCCGGAAUCAUUGGGUUUAAAGGGUCCGCAGGCGGAUGUAUAAGUCAGUGGUGAAAUCCUACAGCUUAACUGUAGAACUGCCAUUGAUACUGUACAUCUUGAAUUCGGUCGAAGUGGGCGGAAUAUGUCAUGUAGCGGUGAAAUGCUUAGAUAUGACAUAGAACACCGAUAGCGAAGGCAGCUCACUAGGCCUGGAUUGACGCUCAGGGACGAAAGCGUGGGUAGCGAACAGG